AGAGUUUGAUCAUGGCUCAGGAUGAACGCUAGCGGCAGGCCUAAUACAUGCAAGUCGAACGGCAAUCUUGGUAGCAAUAUUGAGACUAGAGUGGCGCACGGGUGCGUAACGCGUAUGCAACCUACCUUUUACUGAGGGAUAGCCCGGGGAAACUCGGAUUAACACUUCAUGGUAUAUUGAGAAGGCAUCUUUUUGAUAUUAAAGGCUACGGUAAAAGAUGGGCAUGCGUCCGAUUAGCUAGUUGGCGGGGUAAUGGCCCACCAAGGCGAUGAUCGGUAGGGGACCUGAGAGGGUGAUCCCCCACACUGGCACUGAGAUACGGGCCAGACUCCUACGGGAGGCAGCAGUAGGGAAUAUUGGGCAAUGGGCGAGAGCCUGACCCAGCCAUGCCGCGUGCAGGAAGAAGGCCUUCUGGGUUGUAAACUGCUUUUGACAGGGAAGAAAAUGCUCUUGCGAGAGUUUCUGACGGUACCUGUAGAAUAAGCACCGGCUAACUCCGUGCCAGCAGCCGCGGUAAUACGGAGGGUGCAAGCGUUGUCCGGAUUUAUUGGGUUUAAAGGGUGCGUAGGCGGCUUAUUAAGUCAGUGGUGAAAUCCGUCAGCUUAACUGUUGAAAUGCCAUUGAUACUGAUGAGCUUGAGUGCAGACGAGGUAGGCGGAAUUGAUAGUGUAGCGGUGAAAUGCAUAGAUACUAUCAGGAACACCGAUUGCGAAGGCAGCUUACUAGGUUGCAACUGACGCUGAGGCACGAAAGCGUGGGGAUCAAACAGGAUUAGAUACCCUGGUAGUCCACGCUGUAAACGAUGAUUACUCGAUGUUGGCGAUAUAAUGUCAGCGUCUAAGCGAAAGCGUUAAGUAAUC
rnacentral:rRNA from 1 species